AACGUAGGUACCGAGCGUUAUCCGGAUUUACUGGGCGUAAAGCGCGUUCAGGCGGUCUGGCAAGUCGGGCAUGAAAUCUCUCGGCUCAACCGGGAGAGGUUGUUCGAUACUUCCAGACUUGAGGGCAGUAGAGGGUGGUGGAAUUCCGCAUGUAGUGGUGAAAUGCGUAGAUAUGCGGAGGAACACCAGUGGCGAAGGCGGCCACCUGGACUGCACCUGACGCUCAAACGCGAAAGCUAGGGGAGCGAACGGG
rnacentral:rRNA from 1 species